AUGUCUCUUGCCUCGCUCGGUCUGCCGUUUCCCCUCGGCUAAUCUUGAGCUGGAUGCAGCCGGUCACUUUCAGUGCUGGCUGUAUGAGACAAGAAGAAGCGUGAAAACGCGUCGACGAUUUUUGAGUACGAUUUGAUCCGCAAUGCACCACGGGUCUACGUCGUAAUUUAUCAGUUGGGACAACC
rnacentral:snoRNA from 1 species